UAUGUUAAUUUAAAUUGUAUUUUUAUUCAUCUCUGCCCCCUCUCUUGUUGGCAUCAGAGCGACCACGACACCCGUCGUCGCCCUCGAGGCAAGGUCGACGACAAUAUGUUGGCAGACGCGCCGCCGCCGCGACAGAGUUUUUGUAAUAUUUAUGUGAUACAGGUACAAGCACUUAAUGCGAUAUAAUUUGUACUAUGCUGGUUACAUCGAUAUAGGUAGUUUAGUUGUGACGACUUGGGAGUCGCGUGUACGCUGUAUUCGUCUUAUAGUCGGACAAGACGAUAAUGUGCGUUAUCGGAUGGAUAUAUCAUACUUAUAUUUUAACCUGUUGCCGCCGCACAUCGGAAGUUUCGACACGAGGUCGCCGAGCACCGCUCAUCGUCGACUGAUUUUUUCCUCCUGGCACAAGACGUGUGUGGCGUGUGCGUUUAACUAUUUAAACCGACGGUCACAUCGUUGGUAAACGAUGCACAUCCGUCGUCAGCGCAUUUAUCUGCAAUCGACGGUCGAUCUAUAAACGCGUAUCGAUAUUAAUUUGUUCAAUACUUGAGUUUUGAAGUGCCAGCUACAAUUUGUAUCAAGCAUUAAUGAUUGAGAAGCUGCAGAAAGUGUGUACACGUUCACGGUUUGCUAUAUAAAGUUAAAUUAUUAAAAAAAACCCCUCGAGAGGAUAUUUUAUACAACGUUUCUCUCUUUAUGUUUUUAAUGGAUCUAUUCUAUUGCAGUACAACGCAUGUUAACCUCGCGUUUUCAAAAGUAUACAGAACCCUAUGUUUGUGUGCUACGUAAACUGUGCGAAAUGGACAGAGACAAUAAAUUCUAUCGUGACAGCCUCUUAUGGCAUACACAUUUUAUAAACGAAAACUCAACCGAUCGAUACCAACCUACGAGAGACCGCCAACCAGACUGAUCCGGUCAUUGUAUGAUUCUAAGAGAUGAUCAUAUUAUUAUGUGAAACCGGUAUAAUAUGUCCAUUCGUAUAAUUCUGCUUUGCAGUCGUAAAAUGUAUUAUUCUGGUUUUUUUUUAUAUAAUUAUGUAAAUUAUGUAAAUAUUUCAAAAUUAUUUUUCUUGGUAUAAAACAAAUCAAGGCGAUAUCGUUUGUACAAUUAUUGUAGAAUAAUUUUUUAAGCAA